rnacentral:rRNA from 1 species
UACGUAGGGGGGCAAGCGUUGUCCGGAAUCAUUGGGCGUAAAGAGCGUGUAGGCGCCAGAAAAGUCCGCUGUGAAAACUCGAGGCUCAACUUCGAGCUGUCGGUGGAAACUUUCUGGCUAGAGUCCGGAAGAGGAGAAUGGAAUUCCUGGUGUAGCGGUGAAAUGCGCAGAUAUCAGGAGGAACACCGGUGGCGAAGGCGGGUCUCUGGGCCGAUACUGACGCUGGAGGAGCGAAAGCGUGGGGAGCGAACAGG